GAUGUUGCUAAAACGUCACCAUUAUUAAUUAUGUGGCCAAUGAGCGAUCGCCCGGUUAGGGUAUAUAAGUUGGUUGGUUCUGCCUCUUGCUGUGUGUCAUGGUCGAAAGCCCGCCCCUUCCUUCCUGUUGUGGCCUUCCAAGUGUGUUGUUAGGCUGCUGAGAUAUACUGGGUGCGGUGCGUUGUUGGCUCUCAGUGUGGUGUGCCUUCAUGGCUCCCAUUGAUUGUGGCCUCACAGUGUAACGUAGCCCAGGUCGUAGCACCAGCUGUUGUCGCUGUCACCUUUUAAAGAGGAGCCUUUAAAGAGGUUGUUGUUGUAUGAUCCUUAGAUCUGUUGUCAUGAGCAUUACACCAUCGUAUUAACGGGUAGGUAAAUCGCUCUAAUAGCUAAAUAACCUCGGAUGUUUUAUUGUAGUUGUAAUUGUGCUGUGUGUGUGUGUGUUUUGGAAUAGGUUGAGCGGAAGUGGUAAUUAAUACAGCUCGUUUCCUAUUCUGCAUUGUUCGAGCCACGCUGCUGCUUUUGGGAGUUUAAUUACGUCCAUGUCUAGUAUUCAAGUGGGCUUGAUGUUUG